rnacentral:rRNA from 1 species
UCCAGAGGGUGCGAUCGUUGUUCGGAUUUACUGGGCGUAAAGGGUGCGUAGGCGGCGGGGUAAGUCUGAUGUGAAAGCCCCGGGCUCAACCUGGGAAGGGCAGUGGAUACUGUACGGCUGGAGGGUCGGAGGGGAGAGUGGAAUUCCCGGUGUAGCAGUGAAAUGCGUAGAUAUCGGGAAGAACACCCGUGGCGAAGGCAGGGCUCUGGCCAAACACUGACGCUCAGGCACGAAAGCUAGGGGAGAAAACAGG